rnacentral:rRNA from 1 species
CCUACGGGAGGCAGCAGUAGGGAAUAUUGCUCAAUGGGGGAAACCCUGAAGCAGCAACGCCGCGUGGAGGAUGAAGGUUUUCGGAUUGUAAACUCCUUUUGUUAGAGAAGAUAAUGACGGUAUCUAACGAAUAAGCACCGGCUAACUCCGUGCCAGCAGCCGCGGUAAUACGGAGGGUGCAAGCGUUACUCGGAAUCACUGGGCGUAAAGAGCGCGUAGGCGGGAUAGCAAGUCAGAUGUGAAAUCCUAUGGCUUAACCAUAGAACUGCAUUUGAAACUGUUAUUCUAGAGUAUGGGAGAGGUGAGUGGAAUUCGUGGUGUAGGGGUGAAAUGCGUAGAGAUUAGGAGGAAUACUCGUUGCGAAGGCGAUCUUCUAGAACGUAACUGACGCUGAUGCGCGAAAGCGUGGGGAGCAAACAGGAUUAGAUACCCGUGUAGUC